AUUUAACUCCCUCUUUCUUCUCUCUCGCGAUCUCACUCUCGUCGUUUCUUUUCCUCCAUCGAUUUCUUCUACAUCCUCAAUCUCUGCCGCCAUCCUCUCUGUCCUCCAUUCAUCUCUGCCGCCAUCUUCUCUUUCCUCCAUCUCUACCGCCAUCUUCUCCUAAACCCUAAACAUUAGAACCAACAAAACCAAAAUUAGUGAGAACAAGCACGAUUCAGUUCAACCCACUCACUUAGACAGAAUCUCCGCUAGCUAAGCCGCUCAGUUCAAUCCACACGAUUGUCGUCACACGGUCACUCAGACAAUCACCGAAACCAGUUUCUUCAGCGAAAAUGGUGACUAAAACAGUGGAUCUCCGAUCUGACACAGUCAAUAAACCAACCGAAACAAUGCGGGCUGCAAUGGCAGCAUAUUGCAGAUUAUGAUAUGCUGUGGUGGUAGAUGCCUGACUGCAGAGUACACGGACCGAGUGGAAGAAAUAGCUAAGGAGCAUGGUUUGAAGCUUCACAUUGAUGGGGCUCGCAUUUUCAAUUCAUCAGUUAGCAUGAAAGUGGAGUUGAGGUUGUGAAAGUAGUUGAUGAAGCUAAAGUGAGCCAUGGAGAGUGUAAAGGACUUGUGAUGAAGCUAAAGUGAGCCAUGAAGUUGUUGAGACACCAGCUGAAGGAAGGGAGCUAUUAAAGUGCAAUUGCAGUUUACUUUGAUAAGUUCCAAGUUGCUUUCUUCUAUGCAUGAUCUUUUUGAAAUACUCCUGCGAUUUAGAUAGUAGUUAUAUUAGUCCACAUAAUAGUACCUUCUCAAUAUACACUAGUUGGUUUUUAGAACACAUUUUUCAUGCUAUUCACAUCUAGUUGACUGACUUCUUGGCUUAACUGUAUCACUCAGGUGGAAUAGUUUUCUCUGACUUACCUCACAUUUUUCAAGUUCAGGCCCAAGUUAUAGAGAAGGAGUCAUCUUAGUUGCUGAGGAUGUUGGGAUUAUUAGGGCCAGUUGUUGUUCUAUUCACGUUCGUUGUCUCCGUGAGCUUAGGACUUUUAGAGUAUGAUAAGAGGCAAACGUUCGUUUGUUUGAACUAAGCAUUCCACCUUUAAUUUACAUGUAUUUUUUUUUGCUUAUAGACAAGUAUGGAUCAUAUGUGGGGUUGAAAAAUUUCUGAUUUAUGGAAGUGUUGGAUAUAUUUAAAUUUA